CCUACGGGGAGCAGCAGUGGGGAAUAUUGGGCAAUGGGCGCAAGCCUGACCCAGCAACGCCGCGUGAAGGAAGAAGGCUUUCGGGUUGUAAACUUCUUUUCUGGGGGACGAACAAAUGACGGUACCCCAGGAAUAAGCCACGGCUAACUACGUGCCAGCAGCCGCGGUAAUACGUAGGUGGCAAGCGUUAUCCGGGUUUAUUGGGUGUAAAGGGCGGGUAGGCGGGAAUGCAAGUCAGAUGUGAAAACUCAGGGCUCAACCCUGGGCCUGCAUUUGAAACUGUGUUUCUUGAGUGCUGGAGAGGCAAUCGGAAUGCCGUGUGUAGCGGUGAAAUGCGUAGAUAUACGGCGGAACACCAGUGGCGAAGGUGGAUUGCUGGACAGUAACUGACGCUGAGGCGCGAAAGCGUGGGGAGCAAACAGGAUUAGAUACCCGAGUAGUC
rnacentral:rRNA from 1 species